rnacentral:hammerhead_ribozyme from 1 species
GCACAGAUGAGGAGUCCCAGAUUAGGGCGAAACGGCCGUCCAGUGC